UUCUGAUAAUACUGGAUAAGUUAGAAGUAGCAUUACUAAGUAAAUGAAAAGGUAAGCAAUACGCUAUAUGAGAGCUUUGCAUCCUAUUAGCUAGUUGGUGGGGGUAAAAGCCUACCAAGGCGAUGAUAGGUAGCCGGCCUGAGAGACCGACCGGCCAGAUUGGGACUGAGACACGGCCCAGACUCCUACGGGAGGCAGCAGUC
rnacentral:rRNA from 1 species